GACGAACGCUGGCGGCGUGCCUAACACAUGCAAGUCGAACGGAACUGUUUCGAAAGAUUUCUUCGGAAUGAAUUUGAUUUAGUUUAGUGGCGGACGGGUGAGUAACGCGUGAGUAACCUGCCUUCAAGAGGGGAAUAACAUUCUGAAAAGAAUGCUAAUACCGCAUGACAUAUCGGAACCACAUGGUUUUGAUAUCAAAGAUUUUAUCGCUUGAAGAUGGACUCGCGUCCGAUUAGUUAGUUGGUGAGGUAACGGCUCACCAAGACCGCGAUCGGUAGCCGGACUGAGAGGUUGAACGGCCACAUUGGGACUGAGACACGGCCCGGACUCCUACGGGAGGCAGCAGUGGGGGAUAUUGCGCAAUGGGGGCAACCCUGACGCAGCAACGCCGCGUGAAGGAUGAAGGUUUUCGGAUUGUAAACUUCUUUUAUUAAGGACGAAAAAUGACGGUACUUAAUGAAUAAGCUCCGGCUAACUACGUG
rnacentral:rRNA from 1 species